rnacentral:lncRNA from 1 species
UCUUUUUACUACGACUUUAGAGCUAACAGGAACAUUAGAGCAACUCAUAUGCAAUCAUGCAAGUCACUCAAAGUGAUCUCUCCACUGAUCUGUAAAACUAUAGUGGAAAUCAGUGGUCUCUGUGUCAUUAGCAUAGUCAUUAGCCACGGUCCCUUGCCAAGCUGUUUCAGUUUUACAGAAAUGAAACCGAAACUGUUUACGCCCAAUGCGACAUCUGGGUUUCGGCUAUGCCCUUUACAGGUGCUUAGAUGUGUGUAUGUGCUAUGUAACAGUCAGUGAACGCGAGUGAACACUUUUAAUUUUUAUUGCUUCAAAUGGGCGUAGCGGGCACUUGCUAUUCGUUGACAUUUUGCAAUGAAACGGUGUUUGAAAAAAGAAAGAGAGAAAGAAAACGCAUCGCACGCUUAUCGCGGCUUGCCGCUUGACAUAUUGUGAUUGGCCAGUGGUUCCACAUGAGGGUAUUUACGUGGUGCGUGAGCGCGAGUUGCUCGAGCAGCUCGAGCGCGAGCCACGUUCGACGUUCGCAUUUGGAACCCGGUUGUCGUGCGGUAUCGGCUAGAAGCUUCGAUUCUUCCUUCAGAGGCCGACGAAGCUCAGGACGAGAUGUCAACUGUCGCUGCAAAGCGUGAAAGGAGAAAGAAACCCAAGCCUAAGCUUUCGUUUGGCUCCUCAAGUGGUGCUUCCGGUAACCUGCCUUCCAAUAUGCAAGCAAACCUGCCAGAAUUGUUUGCACUUCUUAAGAUGCAGUAAGUAUAGAAGGCUUGGUUCUUGCUCUUACUUCUCAUAUGCAUAGAAAGAUUACUGGCACAGAUGGUCAAGUACUUACAAAAGUGUA